AUUGAACGCUGGCGGCGUGCUUAACACAUGCAAGUCGAUCGGUAACGCGGGGGCAACCCUGGCGGCGAGAGGCGGACGGGUGAGGAACGCUUGGGAAUCUGCCCAUCAGCGGGGGACAACCCGGGGAAACUCGGGCUAAUACCGCAUACGCCCUACGGAGGAAAGCCGGGGACCGCAAGGCCUGGCACUGAUGGAUGAGCCCAAGUCGGAUUAGCUAGUUGGCGGGGUAACGGCCCACCAAGGCGACGAUCCGUAGCUGGUCUGAGAGGACGAUCAGCCACACUGGGACUGAGACACGGCCCAGACUCCUACGGGAGGCAGCAGUGGAGAAUAUUGGACAAUGGGGGCAACCCUGAUCCAGCGACGCCGCGUGGGUGAAGAAGGCCUGCGGGUUGUAAAGCCCUUUCGAUGGGGACGAAAGCUUCCGACCUAACACGUCGGGAGUCUGACUUAACCCAUAUAAGAAGCACCGGCUAACUCUGUGCCAGCCGCCGCAGUAAAAC
rnacentral:rRNA from 1 species